AUGGGGCUCCCCUCCCACCCUGCAGGAGGGGAGCAGCAGGCAGAGCACAGCCUGGUACCAAAGGUGCCCCGUAACCUCACCUUCCUCCUGGCUGCCCUCACCCCAGAUUCACUGCCGGUACUACUGGUGGGGAAAGGUUCCAACAGAUGGACGCUGGAGGUGGGGGGAGGAAAAGCCCUGCAGCCCUCGUUCGUGGGAGCUGAAAGGGUUGGCAUUGGUUUUGUGUUUUUCUUUCCCCUCCGGUUGCAACACAAAAACAAAGCGCUGAUAGGGAUCGCAGCACGGCGGGGGCAGCUCAGCCCCGUACCCGUCGGGCACAUCCCAUGGGGGGCGGCGGCGGCAGCGUCCCCACGGCCGUAUGGGGUGGGGGCCGGCAGCGGGCAUCGCUCCCAGCAACAUAUCCCCGCUAUGGGGGAUCCUGCGCUGCUCGUCCAUUUUGGGCAGCCCUUUGUCUUACAGCCGGUGCCCCGGCACCACCGGAUCCCUGCCGAGUCCCCCGCCCCCACCUCAGGCUCCGGGAUGGAGGAGCCGCGGGCCCACCUGGGCUGCGGGCAGAGCGAGCACAGCCCCAGCCCUGCCCCAGGAGCACAGCGCUCUGCCCCGGCACAAGCACAGUGUCCAGCACGACGCAACUCCCUGCUCGGGGCAUCCCGAGCUCCAGCGGCGCAGCCCCAGACCCCGAUCGGGACGGGGCAGCAGGGAGGGCAGCAGGGGGGGCUUCACCGCCCCCAGCCCCGCGCGUCGCUUCCUCCCCCGCAGCUGCGGCCACCCCAAACCCCCGCCAGGUGCCCCCCGCCUCCAUCCCGCCCCGCUCCCCGCUCCCAGCCCCCCCCAGCCCCGCUUCACCUCCGUCCCGAUCCGUCUCGAGGUGUCUCCCCGCAGCCCGGCCCGGCGCCCCGAGCCGCUCCGGACGCAGCCCCGGCCCGUAGCUGUGCGCAGCGCCGGACCCGGCACCCGCAGCCCCAAACCCAGCCCGGGGAUGAGCCAGCACCCCGUGCUCAGCACUCGCACCCUGCGCUGGGGCACGCAGCACCUCAUCUGCGGACCCAAAGCCCCAGAUCCAGCACCCGAACCCCACUCCCCUCCGGUACCCGGCCCCGAUCCCAUCUCCCCGGCGCUUACCUGCGGCUCGGCUCGGUCCGGUUCGGCCCGGCUCCGCGCUGGCUGUGCCGCCCGCCGCAGGUCGCUGUGCGCAGCCCCGCCGUGGGCCGUGCCGCGCCGCCCGCACUAUGGCACCCCCUGCCGCCCGUCCCCGGCUCUACGAGGGCCGCGGAGCUGCGGGGCCCGGAGCGCGGAGCGGCGGGAGCGGCCCCCGAGUCCCGCAGCGCCCGGCGUGAGGCCACCCCGAUCCCCCGGAGCCGUGGGUGGGUGCCUGGAGCGCGGCCAGCUGCCGGGAGCAGGAGCCUGCACGCCCAGCUGGGCACUGCGCCCGGCCUCGAGCUGCGCGAGGGCAAAGUCCUCCAAGGGGAAAAAACGACGGCACAGCCUCGUUGCGCCACAGCCGGCCCGCAGCCAAAGAGCCCCCGGUGCGCUGCGCUGCCCUGCGCUGCCGGCACCCCGCGCGUGGGCACUGCUGGGGGUGCCGAGCCCCCGGGAGCCUCCCGUGCCCCACGCGGCUCAGCCCUCCUUCCUCAUCCGUCACGGAGACGCGGAGCACAAGCACGGCGUGCAAUCUGCAGGUCGCAUCUAGGGCACUGGGAGCUGGCUGGAGCAGGAGCUGGGUGCUGUGCUUCCCUGCUGUGCUGGCACGGCAUGCAGCUCCGCUCCCAGCUCACUGCCCUCUCUACAGGCUCCUGCCCUCCCUCCCUGCACGCUCCAGCGGCUCAUUGCCAUUUCCUCCCGUCCUCACUUCUCCCCAACACCUCGCUCUGCCUCCUGCCUGCCCCAUGUUAG
rnacentral:lncRNA from 1 species